AUCACCCUGUAAGAAGUUCAGACAAAUGUUAUGGCAUGAGAAAAAACACGAAGAGGCAAAAGGUAUGCCCUAAGCACUGGAGAUGCUGGGGGACUGGUGCCUUGGUAGCACCAUCAGUAUAAUUUGGAUGUCUGGUCUUGGAGUGGUGGUAAAGAUUUUAAGAUGGACGUUUAAGGGGCUUGUGGGAAACGUCCUUGAUUUGCCAGGCUACAUUUGUGAUACAGGUACAAGGCUGCUGGGCAAGCCCCAGAGAAGUCCAGCUCCCUUGAGACGUACUGCUUUUCCUCUGCAUGAGGGACCAGCCAAGUUAUAUAGUGGGCACUCAGGCCAACAUAUUCAACUUGGAGUACCUAAACUUAGGCUCCAGGUCACCUAUUGAAGCCCCCACAAAGCCAGCACCUCCCUCAGAGGUGGCCUGUAUUUUUUUGAAGGCUGCCCCAGUGCAUGUUAACGCCAGCCUUCAGUUGUGCCAUCCCUAUGCAGGCAGGACUGUACCUGGGCCACACCGUUCUUUUGACUCCUUCCUCCAUCAGCAUUUUGCCCAGUGCCUUCCCAUAAACAUUUUGUCUGAAUAAAUCCUACACGACUGGGCCUCAUUGCAAACAGGAGUAUGGAAAACACGAAUUAAGUCAUAAUGUCUGCAGAGAACAACACAAACUCCAAACCAUGCCUUCACCAAACAUGCAGAGAGAUAAGGAAUCAAAAUGUAUUUAAGCAACUUCUUUACGGUCCAACUGUAAUUGAUUCAAAAUACUAAACUUGCACCAUAUUUUGCUUGUGGGAAUAACAACAAAUGAACAAUCUCUCCACUUGCAGUGUUAAGGAUCUUGUGCCAGAUUGUUCCAGUUAAACAUCCACAAAUUCUUCAGGAUGAGGUUCAGGAGGUAUGCGCCAAACCUGAAAGUGCACGGUGCAGCUCACUAGCUAUAGAUCCGCUGGUGAGCACCCGCUGCCCAGCCUCUAUGGUGCAAGCCGAUUACUCGUACACAUGGAAUCCACAAUGGAGAGAUCCAUGAAAGUUUGGGUUGUAAAUCUUUUAGCAACAUCCGUACAGUGUGAACAAGAUGAGGAGACACCUGCAUUUAAGAUGGUCCAUCCACAAAUCAGUGGCAAUGACACAAAUCCCAAAACCUUUUGAUAGGACUUGUGCUCCAAUAAUCACUUGUGCACUUUGGAAGAUACUACUGCAAACUCUACCCACUGUCCCCAAUUUUGUCUCGGUUGAGAGACUGCCCACCGAAUUUUGCCUAAAGAAAAAUUAAGGGAAGGGUGUGUGUGAGGAUCCUAUGAAAAUGUUCUAUGUUAUUUUGUAAUUACUAUUGUUAUGCAAAUGGUGCAAGUUUUGCAUCUAGGACUAUGCCUUCCCCACACCAAGUCACACAAGCUCAAGGCCUUAGUUUUCACUCCUGUCUUAUUUAGGUCAAACUCCCACAAAACUCAAAUGGAGUUCUUGCUUGAGUGCAAAUUCAGGAAGCAUCCCUGGAUUUCACUCCUUAUAUUUAUGAUAUAAAAUGGCAAUCAAGGUGCUACCAGAUAGGAAAGAAAGAAGAUAGGCAGGAGGAAACACAGCACGCCAGAGGAAGCAGUUUCAAAACAUCUACCUUCAGGAUUCGUCGAGUGAAAGCAAACUGGUCGUUAGAAAGAAAUCCGUGAUUGUGGCGAGGAAAAACCAUCUAAGCCAGCACCGCAGUUUGACUCUCCUCUCUAGCGUUUAAACAACUAACUGCAACUCUGACCACAGGGGAGUUAUUUUGGAUUCACCUCACAGUAAGGAAAAAUCCAAUCCCGCUGCGGGGACGACUUCCUGGAAACCCACUGCAAAGCAUCGUCGGUGCUGUGCAGCAUGGUCUCACUGACAUGCAUAUCCACAUUUCUCCCCAAGACAUCAGUAUCAGAAAAGCAAGGCUGGAAGGGACCUCUAGUCCAACCCACCCCUCGAGGCAAGAUCGUCCCUGUCUAAACCAUCCCAGACAAAAUGAGGAAAAAAAAAUGAUCUCGGGCCCAUGGUUGGGAAUGUCUCAGAGCCACACGGUCAAUGAGGAUGCUGUCUGUAAGACCCUGCCUCGUUUAUGGCUGGAGCGGGAAGGCGGGUAAUGAGUGAAGCAAGUGAACUGCAGGAAGAAAGAGGCCAGCUGCCUGGUUAAGGCAGCCGAAUGCCACCCAGAAGCAGAGCUGGCUUCUAGCCCUGCCUCUCCCACAUGUUCCUAUGUGCGGCUGGCAACAUUUCCACAGCUGACCACUAAUUGACUGUUCCUAAUUUUUGGAGGGCAUGAUGUAACAUCUCUCAGGCUAGAUUUGCAGAGAUGGGUGCUCUGAACUACCACUAAAAUUAGCUGGCACUGUACUUUGAACCUAUCAAGCGUGAUAAAAAUAUUACAGGCUCUGGGGGUGGGGGGUGGAAAAAAUCAGAGGCAACCUGAUUUCUGGGACUGGCUUCCUUUAACCUGCUCAGCUUUAAACGUAUUUCUUGGAUGCUUAUUUUAUAUCCGAACAACAAAGCAUCCAUAUUUUAUAUACAUACCCACACAAUUUUACAGUGCUUCAAGUUUAUUUAAAUGAGUUUUGUGUUCCAACUUUUUACUUGUAAUCUGAGUUUGGCAAACGCAGAUCACACCAUUUUUUCUUGUAGAAUAGUUUAAGGGGGAACUUUUCCAACUGGAGUCUCAACUAUAGUCUGUGAUAACAUUUAUGACAGGGUCAUCAUGCAGUCUGUAGCUAGUCAGCAAAGAUGUCUAGCUUCUGAACCUACCAUAGGGAUACACCACGCAUUACUGGUAAUGUCUUUGUUUCAACUAGCGCCUGUACUGCAAAUUCACUGCCAAAUGCUGCACUGGAGACUGAAGUACUGUAUGACUGAACGGGCCUGAGACUGAAGUUGUGCAGUCCACAACUGCUUGACACCUUCAUGAUGCAGCCAGAUGCAAAGUCUAAGUCAGGCCCACCAAAGCAAUAAGUUGUCAGUCAAGUGCUUUUUAGCCAAACUGUCAUCUCCUGCCUAUUUUUGGCAAUGCUCACAUACUUUUGAGCACCUUUUCUACAUCCCAGGAUCAAAAUGCCAAGCAUACCAGACAUCUAUUUCAAAGUCUACCAACCCCAAGCAUAUUACACGUCUGCCUGUUUGUAUGGUCAGUACAAACAAGAUGAUGUACAAUAGCAUAAUUAAUACAUUUAGAAUAGAUAACACAGAUUAGUUUAAGAGCAACAAUGGGGGCUGACAGACAUGCAGGCCCCCGCUCUAACUCAUGGCGCUUUACAUUUAAAGCGCCAUGAAUUAAAGCACCCCCCCGAGCCAACAGAAGUUCACUUGUUGGGUUGGGAGGGGCGGGGGGAGAGAAAUCAUGCUCCACUUUGGAGCCGAUCGAGCACGAAGAGCCUGUUUGCAGCCUCUCUUCCCUAGCCCCAUCCCGCCUUCCCAGCUCCAGUGCUGUCUGCAGGAAGGGAGGAGGGAGAAAGGAGGAUGAGUGAGCUGUGGGCUUACCCAGCCUGAGCUGGGGAAGGUAGGGGCUGGGGGGCUCCAAUCCACCUGCUCUGCCCCCUGCCCCUCCAGCUCAGGCCGGACAAACCCCAGCAUACAGCUCACUCCCCUUCCCCUCUGUCCCUCCCUUUGUGCAGGGGACCUCAGGGGCAGGGCUGGACUGCAUCGCACCAGCUCAGCCCCAAUCACAUGACAGAUUGACCCUAGAGAAGUUCUCAGAAGUUCCCUAAAUUCCCAGAAGUGGAGCCCCUUAAUCUGAUCCCUCAUCUGAUGAGGGUUAACUUUCAUAGAUUCAUAGAUGUUAGGGUCAGAAGGGAACUCAAUAGAUCAUCGAGUCCGACCCCCUGCAUAGGCAGGAAAGAGUGCUGGGUUUAGAUGAACCCAGCUAAACCCCAGCUAACUUGUCACACGAUAGGCCACUUAACGCCCUCUGCAGCCAUGCACGCAUGUCAUGGCACAGCUGUAGAGCGUUUGCAGGGGGUCAGUCAUGUGACAAAUGUCACUUCUGUCUGCACCCAAUAUUCUUGGGAAGUCUACCUACAUAUUUAAUAGGUCGAUAAAAAAAAAUGUUCCUUUGGAAUAUCUUCCUAAACUCUCUGUACCUUCUGGGUAAUGACGACUCUUCCCUUGUGAAUGAUCUUUUUCUUGUAUGUAAUAGGGUUUCCCUCAGAGGCAGGCAAUUAUUUCGGGCAGAGGGCUACUUAAUAAGUUUUGGCAAGCUGUUGGGGGCCGCAUAGGCAGCCCUGCCCCUUGACAGUUGCCCUGCCCCCUGGUCACCACAUUGGGACCAGAAGUCCUGCCCCCUAUCCCCUGACCUUUGCCACUGGAAGUCACUCCCCUAGCUCCCCCCCAAAUACUCAUUUUGGGAGGGGGGUUGCCAUCUUAGAACCAGAAAAAAAAAAUCAUACACUAGAAGUCAGGCACCUACUGUAAUACAUUUUAAUUUUAUUACAAAAAAUAUUUGGCAUGACUUGUGACUAUGUACUGUAUAUAGAAGAGAUUGCAUAAUAACUCCAAAAUAAAGUGUCACUCUUUUAUAUU